rnacentral:rRNA from 1 species
GACGAACGCUGGCGGCGUGCCUAAUACAUGCAAGUCGAACGCAGUGGGGACGGGUGAGUAACACGUGGGUAACCUCCCAUCAGAGGGGAUAACACUUGGAAACAGGUGCUAAACCGAUACUGAUGGAUGGACCCGCGGUGCAUUAGCUAGUUGGUGAGGUAACGGCUCAACAAGGCCACGGUGAAUAGCCGACCGGAGAGGGUGAUCGGCCACACUGGGACUGAGACAGGGUCCGGACUCCUACGGGAGGCAGCAGUGGGGAAUAUUGCACAAUGGGCGCAAGCCUGAUGCAGCCAUGCCGCGUGUAUGAAGAAGGCCUUCGGGUUGUAAAGUACUUUCAGCGGGGAGGCGUGACCCGCAGAAGAAGCACCGGCUAACUCCGUGCCAGCCGCCGCGGUAAUUC